UAAUUAUCAAUAAAGCUCUAUCAGCAUCCAUGCAGAUCUAUUUGUUGACAUAAAUUUUCAACUUAUUUGAGAGUUAUUUUUAAUAGGUACACAUUCUCAUUUUACAGGAUGAAAACAGUUCUGUGGAUGGAUGAUGGCGAUGGGAGCAUGAUAGUGUGAAUGUGCUUAAUGCCACUGCACUGUACAUUUUUAAAUGGUUAAGAUGUGAGCCAGAAGCCUCCGUAUGUCAGCAAAUCCACUGGUGCCGUGACUUCCCACUGAGCCUCCUGACUUCCUGUUCUGCACUGGCUUGUCUGCUUCCCGGACCUGCUGCACAACUUGCUCCGAGUCCUAUACUUGACCUCCUGCUUUUAGAUCCCAUGCCUUCCAUGCCAUUGGUUUACAAGUUUAUUUUCCUGGGGUACUUCCUUCAGGAACGUUCAAGGAGAGAGCAAAGAAGGAUUCUUCAGGAAACGGAGGAUACACUUUUCUGGGAUUUAGAAGAGAAUCUCAUGAAGGGCCUAUUUCCAGCGGUGUGGACCGGGCUAAAGGAACCAACAAGGGAUGUCGAGGGACCCAGGUGCCAGCCAGAGUGGCCUGAGACAGCAAGGGUGAGAAAGCACUGGAGCUGUCAUCUUCCUGGGACUCAGUCCUUGACAGGGCGGGAGGGCGUAGAGGUAGAAAUAACCUGGCAACUCCCUCUUUUUGCUCUCUGGGCUUCACCUGCUGACGAAAUCCAACCAAAAGCAAGAGAAGGACAUCAGUGCAGCUGGCCUGCGUGGGUCAACCCCUGAGGCUGGCAGCUAUAGAAGGACAGAGAAAGAGCAGAGCAGGGGAGGAAAAGGAACAGAACCAGCUGCCUCACAAUACAAAAUUGUUGGUGUGGGCUUAAUUUGGAGAGAAUCGAAAAGCUAUUUGGUAACCAACCACUGGACUUGGGAUAAUGGUAUCUCCCAUUCCAACUGUUCUCUAAGUUUUCCAUUCAGUAUUUUCUUUAGGUUUAUAAAUUCUGUGUACCAAGGACUACUUGGUGGUUCUGCUUGCAAAGAACCUAUAUUUGCACAUUUAGGAAUUUCUAAACAGAGAUGGAGAUUAGAGUCUCUUCACAACUGAAGUAAAACAGAAAUGUUCAUGUUUUUCUUUAAACACUUUCUAGUGUUAGCAAGUUAAUUUAAAAUGUAAGUGAAAAUCCAUUCUCAAAUCAAUGGUAGCCAUUUAAUUUUGCUGACUUCUUGUGCUUCAGAUUUGAAGUUUAGUGAUCUCUCAGUAAAAUCUUAAAUGUUGAUUUUCUUUUACGACCUAUGAAAGAUGAUACUUUCAGCAAAGUCUUAAGCAUGCAAAUAAAAGUUCAUUUUACUAUUA